CCUGGCUCAGGACGAACGCUGGCGGCGCGCCUAACACAUGCAAGUCGAACGGAGCUUAGAGAGCUUGCUUUUUAAGCUUAGUGGCGAACGGGUGAGUAACGCGUGAGUAACCUGCCCUAGAGUGGGGGACAACAGUUGGAAACGACUGCUAAUACCGCAUAAGCCCACGGUACCGCAUGGUACUGAGGGAAAAGGAUUUAUUCGCUUUAGGAUGGACUCGCGUCCAAUUAGCUAGUUGGUGAGGUAACGGCCCACCAAGGCGACGAUUGGUAGCCGGACUGAGAGGUUGAACGGCCACAUUGGGACUGAGACACGGCCCAGACUCCUACGGGAGGCAGCAGUGGGGGAUAUUGCACAAUGGGGGAAACCCUGAUGCAGCGACGCCGCGUGGAGGAAGAAGGUUUUCGGAUUGUAAACUCCUGUCGUUAGGGACGAUAAUGACGGUACCUAACAAGAAAGCACCGGCUAACUACGUGCCAGCAGCCGCGGUAAAACGUAGGGUGCAAGCGUUGUCCGGAAUUACUGGGUGUAAAGGGAGCGCAGGCGGAAGACAAGUUGGAAGUGAAAACCAUGGGCUCAACCCAUGAAUUGCUUUCAAAACUGUUUUUCUUGAGUAGUGCAGAGGUAGAUGGAAUUCCCGGUGUAGCGGUGGAAUGCGUAGAUAUCGGGAGGAACACCAGUGGCGAAGGCGGUCUACUGGGCACCAACUGACGCUGAGGCUCGAAAGCAUGGGUAGCAAACAGGAUUAGAUACCCUGGUAGUCCAUGCCGUAAACGAUGAUUACUAGGUGUUGGGGGAUUGACCCCCUCAGUGCCGCAGUUAACACAAUAAGUAAUCCACCUGGGGAGUACGACCGCAAGGUUGAAACUCAAAGGAAUUGACGGGGGCCCGCACAAGCAGUGGAGUAUGUGGUUUAAUUCGAAGCAACGCGAAGAACCUUACCAGGUCUUGACAUCCGAUGCAUAGCACAGAGAUGUGUGAAAUCCUUCGGGACAUCGAGACAGGUGGUGCAUGGUUGUCGUCAGCUCGUGUCGUGAGAUGUUGGGUUAAGUCCCGCAACGAGCGCAACCCUUAUUGCCAGUUACUACUUAAGAGGACUCUGGCGAGACUGCCGUUGACAAAACGGAGGAAGGUGGGGAUGACGUCAAAUCAUCAUGCCCUUUAUGACCUGGGCUACACACGUACUACAAUGGCGUUAAACAAAGAGAAGCAAGACCGCGAGGUGGAGCAAAACUCAAAAACAACGUCUCAGUUCAGAUUGCAGGCUGCAACUCGCCUGCAUGAAGUCGGAAUUGCUAGUAAUCGCGGAUCAGCAUGCCGCGGUGAAUACGUUCCCGGGCCUUGUACACAC
rnacentral:rRNA from 1 species